CCCGCCGGCGACCGGCGCACGGGUGAGUAACACGUAUGCAACCUGGCCGCCACAGGGGGAUAACCCGCGGAAACGCGGCCUAAUACCCCGUGACGCCACCGGAGGGCAUCCUCCGGUGGCCAAAGGAGCGAUCCGGUGGCGGAUGGGCAUGCGGCGCAUUAGCUAGACGGCGGGGUGACGGCCCACCGUGGCGACGAUGCGUAGGGGUUCUGAGAGGAAGGUCCCCCACAUUGGAACUGAGACACGGUCCAAACUCCUACGGGAGGCAGCAG
rnacentral:rRNA from 1 species